AUCGCACCUGGCCACCAGGACAAGGUUGUUGCUGCCCCCUGUAGGGUACAGCAUCGAGCCAUAUGUGACCCAGAAACAUUUUGCAGGCAACCGAGUAUUGUGAAGAAUCGUGAAGAAACCCUGCAAGGUGCUGCACCCAAAACAGGGGACCAAUUCAAGGCUAUCUGGAACUCCUUAAUUCAACAGGGGACCACAUUUGGAGUACUGAAUCCAACAGGCAGUCAUUUAGAGAACUAGUACA